rnacentral:rRNA from 1 species
GAUGAACGCUGGCGGCGUGCCUAAUACAUGCAAGUCGAGCGAACAGACGAGGAGCUUGCUCCUCUGACGUUAGCGGCGGACGGGUGAGUAACACGUGGAUAACCUACCUAUAAGACUGGGAUAACUUCGGGAAACCGGAGCUAAUACCGGAUAAUAUAUUGAACCGCAGGGUUCAAUAGUGAAAGACGGUUUUGCUGUCUCUUAUAGAUGGAUCCGCGCCGCAUUAGCUAGUUGGUAGGGUAACGGCUUACCAAGGCAACGAUGCGUAGCCGACCUGAGAGGGUGAUCGGCCACACUGGAACUGAGACACGGUCCAGACUCCUACGGGAGGCAGCAGUAGGGAAUCUUCGGCAAUGGGCGAAAGCCUGACGGAGCAACGCCGCGUGUGUGAUGAAGGUCUUCGGAUCGUAAAGCCCUGUUAUUGGGGAAGAACAGAUGCGGACGUAAAUAUGGACGUCGUGACGGUACCUAAUCAGAAAGCAACGGCUAACUACGUG